rnacentral:SRP_RNA from 1 species
GCCGGGUGUGGUGGUGAGCACCUGUGGUACCAGCUCCUUGGGAGGCUGAGAUGGGAGGAUCGCUUGAGCCCAGGAGGUCGAGGCUGCAGUGAGCCAUGUUUGUGCCACUGUACUCCAGCCUGGGCAACAUAGUGAGACCCUGUCUCAA